CCUACGGGAGUGUUGCAGUGGGGAAUAUUGGACAAUGGGCGAAAGCCUGAUCCAGCCAUGCCGCGUGUGUGAAGAAGGCCUUCGGGUUGUAAAGCACUUUCAGUGGGGAAGAAAGCCUUGGGGCUAAUACCCUCGAGGAAGGACAUCACCCACAGAAGAAGCACCGGCUAACUCCGUGCCAGCAGCCGCGGUAAUACGGAGGGUGCGAGCGUUAAUCGGAAUUACUGGGCGUAAAGCGCGCGUAGGCGGUCUGAUAAGCCGGUUGUGAAAGCCCCGGGCUCAACCUGGGAACGGCAUCCGGAACUGUCAGGCUAGAGUGCAGGAGAGGAAGGUAGAAUUCCCGGUGUAGCGGUGAAAUGCGUAGAGAUCGGGAGGAAUACCAGUGGCGAAGGCGGCCUUCUGGACUGACACUGACGCUGAGGUGCGAAAGCGUGGGUAGCAAACAGGAUUAGAUACCCGAGUAGUC
rnacentral:rRNA from 1 species